rnacentral:ncRNA from 1 species
UGAGCUGUGGUGGGAGAGUCCCGCCGGUGCACUCGGACCGGCGGGCGCCGUAGGAGCAAUUCCUCCCCAGGAAACUCUCAGGCCCCCGUACCACCACGGAUCG